rnacentral:rRNA from 1 species
UUGAGCGAUUUACUUCGGUAAAGAGCGGCGGACGGGUGAGUAACGCGUGGGUAACCUACCCGGGACACACGGAUAACAUACCGAAAGGUAUGCUAAUACGGGAUAAUAUAUUUGAGAGGCAUCUCUUGAAUAUCAAAGGUGAGCCAGUACAGGAUGGACCCGCGUCUGAUUAGCUAGUUGGUAAGGUAACGGCUUACCAAGGCGACGAUCAGUAGCCGACCUGAGAGGGUGAUCGGCCACAUUGGAACUGAGACACGGUCCAACCUCCUACGGGAGGCAGCAGUGGGGAAUAUUGCACAAUGGGCGAAAGCCUGAUGCAGCAACGCCGCGUGAGUGAUGAAGGCCUUCGGGUCGUAAAACUCUGUCCUCAAGGAAGAUAAUGACGGUACUUGAGGAGGAAGCCCCGGCUAACUACGUGCCAGCAGCCGCGGUAAUACGUAGGGGGCUAGCGUUAUCCGGAUUUACUGGGCGUAAAGGGUGCGUAGGCGGUCUUUCAAGUCAGGAGUGAAAGGCUACG